UCUCCGUGCUGCGCACGGCGAAUUGUAAUCUAGAGAGGCUAUGCUUACCGGGUGGUGGCGCAGAAGUGGCCUGGAACGGCCCGCCAGAGAGGGCGACAGCCCCGUACGUGGCGCCGCCGCCUAACGAGCAAGUCUUCAAAGAGUCGGGUUGUUUUGUAUUGCAGCCCUAAGUGGGAGAUAAACUUCUUCUAAGGCUAAAUAUAUGUGGGAAACCGAUAGCGAACAAGUACUGUGAAGGAAAGAUGAAAAGCACUUUGGAAAGAGAGUCAAAAGACCUGAAACCGUUGAGGAGGAAGCGGUAGAGAUGAAUUCUACGGCGAGGCGCUGGGGAGCCGGCCCAACCAUGGCAGGGAGGUCGUACGUCAAAGGCGGCACUUUGUCCAAGGGGAAGCCGGUGACUAGCGCGGCGUCGUGAGGCCGGAUGGGGUGACGUGAUCACAGAGGCCUGCCGGGCCUGGCUCGAUUCGUCGGGCAGCCCGGGAGUGCCGGUGGCUGCGUGGCCUGAGGAUGCUUCGUGCGAUCCGGUCAAAAUGGUCUUUACCGACCCGUCUUGAAACACGGACCAAGGAGUCUA
rnacentral:rRNA from 1 species